GCGGACGGGUGAGUAACACGUGGGUAACCUACCUAUAAGACUGGAAUAACUUCGGGAAACCGGAGCUAAUGCCGGAUAACAUUUGGAACCGCAUGGUUCUAAAGUAAAAGAUGGUUUUGCUAUCACUUAUAGAUGGACCCGCGCCGUAUUAGCUAGUUGGUAAGGUAACGGCUUACCAAGGCAACGAUACGUAGCCGACCUGAGAGGGUGAUCGGCCACACUGGAACUGAGACACGGUCCAGACUCCUACGGGAGGCAGCAGUAGGGAAUCUUCCGCAAUGGACGAAAGUCUGACGGAGCAACGCCGCGUGAGUGAUGAAGGUUUUCGGAUCGUAAAACUCUGUUAUUAGGGAAGAACAAAUGUGUAAGUAACUGUGCACAUCUUGACGGUACCUAAUCAGAAAGCCACGGCUAACUACGUGCCAGCAGCCGCGGUAAUACGUAGGUGGCAAGCGUUAUCCGGAAUUAUUGGGCGUAAAGCGCGCGUAGGCGGUUUCUUAA
rnacentral:rRNA from 1 species